AGCGAACGCUGGCGGCAGGCCUAACACAUGCAAGUCGAACGAACUCUUCGGAGUUAGUGGCGGACGGGUGAGUAACACGUGGGAACGUGCCUUUUGGUUCGGAAUAACUCAGGGAAACUUGUGCUAAUACCGAAUGUGCCCUUCGGGGGAAAGAUUUAUCGCCAUUAGAGCGGCCCGCGUCUGAUUAGCUAGUUGGUGAGGUAACGGCUCACCAAGGCGACGAUCAGUAGCUGGUCUGAGAGGAUGACCAGCCACACUGGGACUGAGACACGACCCAGACUCCUACGGGAGGCAGCAGUGGGGAAUCUUGCGCAAUGGGCGAAAGCCUGACGCAGCCAUGCCGCGUGAAUGAUGAAGGUCUUAGGAUUGUAAAAUUCUUUCACCGGGGACGAUAAUGACGGUACCCGGAGAAGAAGCCCCGGCUAACUUCGUG
rnacentral:rRNA from 1 species